UAAAUGGAUUGAAAUUUUCUG
ensembl:piRNA 21ur-15512 ncRNA